AGAUGGCUGAAAUAUGAUGAGUGCAUAGAAUCUUGAUAGCAAAAUGAAAAUGUAAAAGAUCCAACUCUGAUUUCAUCCAGAG